rnacentral:rRNA from 1 species
GAACGCGAAGAACCUUACCAGGUCUUGACAUCCAGUGCAAACCUAAGAGAUUAGGUGUUCCCUUCGGGKACGCUGAGACAGGUGGUGCAUGGCUGUCGUCAGCUCGUGUCGUGAGAUGUUGGGUUAAGUCCCGCAACAAGCGCAACCCUUGUCAUUAGUUGCCAUCAUUAAGUUGGGCACUCUAAUGAGACUGCCGGUGACAAACCGGAGGAAGGCGGGGAUUCCUCCAAGUUAUCCCUGGCCUUCUCUCUAGAGUGCCCAACUUAAUGCUGGGAACUAAAGGCAAGGGUUGCGCUCGUUGCGGGACUUAACCCAACAUCUCACGACACGAGCUGACGACUACCAUGCACCACCUGUCACUUCUGUCCCCGAAGGGAAAGAUGCGAUUAGGCAUCGGUCAAAAGGAUGUCAAGCUUAGGUAAGGUUCUUCGCGUUCA